rnacentral:misc_RNA from 1 species
GAUGAAGAACGUAGCGAAAUGCGAUAAGUAGUGUGAAUUGCAGAAUUCAGUGAAUCAUCGAAUCUUUGAACGCACAUUGCGCCUCCUGGUAUUCCGGGAGGCAUGCCUGUUCGAGCGUCAUUUCAACCCUCAAGCCCCGCUUGGUGUUGGGCCCCGCCCGCUGUGGCCGGCCCUAAAGACAGUGGCGGCGCCGCCUGGCCCUCAGCGUAGUACAUCUCUCGCUCCAGGGUCCGGUGGCCGCCUGCCAGAACCCCCCAACUCUGUGGUUGACCUCGGAUCAGGUAGGGAUACCCGCUGAACUUAAGCAUAUCAAUAAGCGGAGGA